GCUUGUGCGGGAAGUUUUGUUUGCUGAAGGUGGAAAAGGUGGAACAGAAAGUGCUACACUCAACUUCUAGAAAUAGCAAUGAUCAUGAGAGUGCCAUGGCAGUGUUACUCGCGUUUGCAAGAGUACACCAUCAUCAAGAACUGUAGCCCACUGGAAUUCAGAUUCAAUGUUGGUACCUUUACGUGGUCGAAUGCUACUACACAUCUCACCAAACAACAGAGCAACAUGUAACAGCUCCACCACAAUGCUUCAACCUCGGUAGAGCACAGCAUCUUCGGGACAAGAACGAGCAAACCCACGGAGGUCUUGAUUCAUGUAGAGUCAGUGUAGUGCGGACACUCCUUGUUGUCCAGUGUUGUGUGGAUGACUGCUUAAGAUUUCUGAGGAGGAACAUUGUGCUGUGCUUUCAUUCCAAGACAUUUAUGUACGGUUUGUGCACUUCAUGCAUCGUGCAUAAUUGGUGUGGAAGUUCUACAUCAGGAUGGGAAGAAAAUAUCAGGAAGUCCUGCACACGUGCCACAAAGGCCUGGUGAGAGAGGGAGUGCAGAUGGGCUUUUGCAGAUUCUAGGCCCUCUGCAGUACAAGCAUACAUGACCUGAAAAAAUCACAAAGUCACUAAAGUCGCUUUUGCGCCAAAAGCCUCCAGUUAUCAUCAUCAACAAAGUCACUAAAUGUUGCCCGAGUGUUGGAAAAUAAGGUGUGAACCAAAGCAUUUAUAUGAUCAAAUCACUUGCUGGCAAAGCAAACACUAUGUGGCGGCCCGUGGACGACGAUGACAACGACGUGCCUCUGCUGUAGCGCGCCACUGCGCCUGCCAGCCAGUUCUACCGGCACCGUCCUAGCGUGAGGCCACGCACAUCUGCCCGCUGGGACAUUCCAUGAUCGCCGGUUAGGACUCAACACCACCGCCUCUACAUUCGGUGACCUGAACAACGAACACCAUGUUCGGCGUAAUUCGGCCGUGCAACAUCCUAAAUUUUUGGGCAAACAAGCAGCGAACCACCCUCUGGCAGGCAAGGCGAGCAGGGACCACUGUUCCACCGGGGACCCUCAGGGAGACCACAGUAAGCUGACUUUCCGGCCUCCACCUGCUUCAUGAUGGUCCUUCCCUUCACUUCUCUGGCGGCAACCGACAUUCACGCUAUCGUACCAGUCGCGGUACUGUCGCCCACUCAGCAACGCACUCACUCAGCAACAAUCAACGCUCGGCAGCAAUCACUCAGCAAGCACUCAGCGCACUCAACAAGGGCUCAACGCACUCAGCAGACACUCAACACAAUCAGCAACCACUCAAGGACCCAACCACUCAACCAAUCGGCAUUCACAUCCCAUCACUCGAACUCGCCCGGAUCGCAGCGCUCUUGUUCCCCCCAUCCCACUGCUGCUGCAUCAACAGCCACAAGCACAAGCCGUGUGCCCAGUCGUCCACCUUCUACGAGCCGUCAUCAUUCUCCUCUUCAUGGUAUCGACGCGAACCUCAACCGCAUGCACCGCUCCGCGUCUGAGGGGGAGAGUGAUGUGGCGGCCCGUGGACGACGAUGACAACGACGUGCCUCUGUUGGCGCGCGCCACUGCGCCUGCCAGCCAGUUCUACCGGCACCGUCCUAGCGUGAGGCCACGCACAUCUGCCCGCUGGGACAUUCCAUGAUCGCCGGUUAGGACUCAAUACCACCGCCUCUACAUUUGGUGACCUGAACAACGAACACCAUGUUCGGCGUAAUUCGGCCAUGCAACAUCCGAAAUUUUUCGGCAAACAAGCAGCGAACCACCCUCUAGCAGGCAAGGCGAGCCGGGACCACUGUUCCACCGGGGACCCUCAGGGAGACCACAGUAAGCUGACUUUCCGGCCUCCACCUGCUUCAUGAUGGUCCUUCCGUUCACUUCUCUGGCGGCAACCGACAUUCACGCUAUCGUACCGGUCGCGGUACUGUCGCCCACUCAGCAACGCACUCACUCAGCAACAAUCAACGCUCGGCAGCAAUCACUCAGCAAGUACUCAGCGCACUCAACAAGGGCUCAACGCACUCAGCAGACACUCAACACAAUCAGCAACCACUCAAGCACCCAACCACUCAACCAAUCGGCAUUCACAUCCCAUCACUCGAACUCGCCCGGAUCGCAGCGCUCUUGUUCCCCCCAUCCCACUGCUGCUGCAUCAACAGCCACAAGCACAAGCCGUGUGCCCAGUCGUCCACCUUCUACGAGCCGUCAUCAUUCUCCUCUUCAUGGUAUCGACGCGAACCUCAACCGCAUGCACCGCUCCGCGUCUGAGGGGGAGAGUGAUGUGGCGGCCCGUGGACGACGAUGACAACGACGUGCCUCUGCUGGCGCGCGCCACUGCGCCUGCCAGCCUGUUCUACCGGCACCGUCCUAGCGUGAGGUCACGCACAUCUGCCCGCUGCCUAGAAAUCUUAAGGGAGAGAGGCUAGAAGAAACGUCGGGAAGGAGGAUCGGAGGAGAGCAAAGGACUUCAACGAGAUUUCAGGAGAUUUCGCCCUCGUUUCCUUCUCCCAAAUGCACUAUGAAAGCUAAGGUUUCGUGAGGGGCUUCAACCCGCCAACCCCCUCUCGCUACGCCACUGGUAGCUCUCAUAGCCACUGGCAGCUACACAGCAUUGAUUAUGGUUCGGAAGCAUAGAAAUCAUAAGCUCUAAUCUUUCAUCAUAAUCUCUCCCUUAAGAUUUCUGUGUUCGAAAGUAACACAUGAGGCUGUUUGAGAUAGAAAAUUAGGGGUCAUGCACAGUAAAGCGACUUAAUGAUGUAUUCGAACAACAAGCAAUAUAUACAUAGUGUGUGCAAAUAGAACUUCAGUGGCUCUCUGCGCACCGGUAAAAUGUUCUGCUGCUGGGGUUUACUACUGGUUGAGGAAUAACACUUGUUUGGUGAGCCUGCACCUCAUAUUUCCCUGGUGUCGCAGUAAGGUGUCACCUUCAAGGCUGGGCAGAACAUUGCAAGCUCCUGAGACCCUAACUUCAGCAUGCAUAAGGAUGGCUCUAUAAGCGUAGCGAAACUGCACAGAGGAUGGGUUGUUAUUCCAUCCUCUACGUUGACGGAUGCAGCUGAAUAGGAGCUCCAAGUGAUCUUGACUCAGACUGUAGGUGCAGAUGUACCUUGCAUUGGGAGGCAUCUCGGUCAAAGAGCAUCUCUGCAAGUUCAGCGACACUUUUCAAUGAAAAUGCCAGGCUUAAGACGGACAUCCGCCUCCCAUCCAAGACUGCAAGUUUCCCCGACGGCAAAACAAGUGACA